rnacentral:tRNA from 1 species
GCGUUUUGGACAACCCUGGUGGUAGAGCGUCUGCUUCGUAAGCAGAAGAUCGUCAGUUCAAUCCUGUCAAGUGGCU